CAUCGUGACCACCCAAGGGCUGAUCCUGGAGUCAACGUGGGACCCUCUGAGGAAACACAGCCUCCUGUAAGAAAAACAUUGUUAUUGUAAUUAUUGUGUUUAUUUACCAUCACCUAUUAAUGUAAUAACUUAUAAUAUAAAUGAACUAACUGUACAUGUAAAAAUGAACAAUUGCAAAGCAUGCUGGGUGUUAUUCUAAUGAGCUCCGGCCCAAAACAAGGCAAAUUAAAAUAUGCAGUGUGCUUUGCAGUUGUUAAUUUUCACAUACAUUUACAUUUUUGUGAACUUUUUAACUCAGCAUUUUUUUGAGUGUGGUUGCUUCUGUAAUGGUGGUGUAUGAUGAACUGACAUUUCCCAGAAACAUACUGCCUAAAGUAAGAAGCAAAUGUUUUAAUUGUAUUUUGAGUUUGUUCAAACAUAUUUUUUGUCCAUUUCCUUGGUCCAAGAUUGCACAUCUAUGCAGUACUGUUUUCAAGGUAAAAUAAUGCACAACAUGAAUAGAAAACGUACUUACGCAUUGUGGCUACAAAGGCCUUCAUCAGGGUGACGAUUGUGUUUUUUAAAUUCUUGCAAUGCAUACGCCGUAAAUGAUAAACGCUUUAAAAAUGUUCCACUAUAUGAGAGUGCCUUGAUUUCUUCAGGAUUUUUUUUGCCACAUUGUUUACAAUCCAGCAUCAACUACUGUUUAUUCCAUAGUAUGUUAACCUAUGAAAGACUACCUUAUGGUAUACACCUAUAACCAAAGAAACUGUCCUCUCCUAAUUGGAGAUGGAAGGGAGUUCCGUGUGAUCAUGGGCUCUGUAUAAUACUGUGCGUCCCUGUGACUUCUUGACUGUUUGCAGGUUCAGGGUGUCAACAACCCGCUGGUUAAUGUUGGAGUGGUGGUCCACGACCUGUGGAUAAGUCCCAUGAACCAGACACCUCUUCAUGGAGAGAGGAGUCAGAAUAAUGAUGAAGAUCCAGAGGAACCCAUGGAGAUUAACGAUGAAGAGGAACCCAUGGAGCUCAACUGACACACACACACACACACACUGUGUGCCUUAUUUUAUCUUUUAAUACAAUGCCUGUUUUAUAUAUUUGGGGGGUUUUAAAAGGCAAUUCCACCAAAGUAAUGCAAUUUCAGUCUGAUAUGAGUUUCAAUAAACACACAUCAUUUCCACUAUAGAGUUCUUUAAAAAAAAUGUUUUACUGACCAAUUCUUUAAUAAUUAAAUAUACUGCGCUAGCUAGUAAGUAGUAGGCACUGCAAGAAGCCCCUGGAGUGACACGGUGUCCGCUGUGAUUGGUCGAGCUAUCACAAUGCGGUGGACUGCUCAUGUCCCUUGACCCCACCCCUACAGCACCGGUUAGACGUAAAUGUCAUCACUCAGAAAAACGCCUGUCACUCAGUCUGCCGCAUAGCAUUAGUGCUCAGCAUCCUUAGGCUAUUGGGUUUCAGUCAGAGUUAUUUAAUUGUAUAUUUA